GGAUCUCCUGAUGGAUGCCACAGCCCACGGCCCUUGUCCACUUUUCCACCAGGCCGGCGCCCGAGCCCGCCGCGAGCCAAAUUCAUAGAAAAUAGCUCUGACUCGUGCCAUCACCUCCUCGGCCCACCCGAGGGCUCCGGCCCGGGACAUUUUAUUAGGAGGCUGAAUUCUGAGACUGCAGGGAAGGUUAUAAGACGCAUCCCGGUAGAUUUCCGGACUUCCAGCUCCCUCCCCCGCGCGGCUCCUCCUCCUCUUCCUCCCCCUCUCUUGACCUCCUCCGAGGUACCUUCGCCUCCCCUCCCCCCGCUCAUCCCCAGCAAACCUCCGGCAGCGGUCCAGGGAAAGCAACCCCUUGGUGCUAAAUUCAGAGCCGCGAGUUGCACAGGAUUGCGGCUGGGGGCUAAAGGUGUCGCGUCUCUCAGAUUAGAUUUGAUAAAUUUGGUCAACUGGACUGGGCUCACUCGUUCUGAGUUUCCCGAGAGCUCCGCCGGACCCGUGGGCGUUUUUGCAAUAUUCAGGGCUGAACUGGUAGAUUUCAGCCGAAGAAAGCGCCAGGGAUUUGGGAGAGAAAGCUUCUUCGCCAAUCUCGACUCUCGGAUUACCCACCACGAAAAUCCGAUACACGUAACGAAGUCUUGGCCAAACGUAGGGUUCAGUGAGUCCUUGGGCCAAACGUCUCUGUCAGCAGAUCGCACUCACCGGCUCCAACCUGGACUCCAGGAGGAACUCAGUUAUAUAUCGCCUUGCUCCUGGUCAUUUACGGGUUCAAAGAAAUGGGAGCGGGGGAAAGGAGGAAAGGGGUUUCACUGGCCACUGCCAGCCAUCUGGGGGGAUCGCAGCACAUACAUUCAGAAGCACAGUUUGAAAGACAAGAAUGUAAAUUUCUGUCUCCGCUCGUCCGGCAAUCAGCUGCGGAGCCCCGCGCUUGGGACUGGCCUGAGAUCUGGGGCUUCGCCGCUGCCGGUAGCCUGCAAUUCUAGCUCGGCUGAGAAGCGAGCAGCCCGACCGCACACGAACGCUGCCCUCCCGGCUGUCGUCUGCCGGCAAAGAACACAAGAAACUACUACCUGCACUCACGGACUAGCAGGAGGAAAUUCUUGCUAA
rnacentral:lncRNA from 1 species